GGAAAAGGAGCGGGCUGCAUUUUGGGUCCCCCCAAGGGUAGAUAAGACAGCUAAGGGUUGGCGGGGAUUUGUCCUGUGCGCAGGAGAGAAGAAUCUCGGUAUUCUUUAGGCAGUUCCAGAUUCUACCAUAUAUGAGAUUAAAAUCCCUGGGACGUUGCUGAACCACUGCUAUCUAUGAAAUCAUGGCGACUAUCCUUGUCAGGCACAGUUACCAGCUUUCUAUCACAAGAGAUUACAUUACAUUUCCUGUCAUUUAUGGAAAUAAAUUCAAACACUGAAUAAUAUUCCAUUGUGUACCACAUUUUCAUUAUCAAAUCAUCAAUUGAUGGAUGUCGUGGCUGUUUCCAUUUCCUGGCUAUUAGAGGCCCACAUCUUCAGAAGGAAAUGCAGGUAUCGUCUAGACAAAAAUCAACAACUAACUGAGGCUCCAGCAGGUUGCAAUGAAUUGAAUCUUUCUAAAAACAUCACGCUUUAUUAUCUGGUCAUGAAUUUACUAGUAUCUGAUAAAGCUUCGAUGAAGAGGAACCCAUUAAGGCUUACCUGGACGCCUGAUUCAAAUUAAGUGAGAAAAACCAGGAAGAAGACAAUCUUGUGAGCUAAAAAGUUCCACCCCAGUAUCUGGAACCAACUAAGAGACAAGCCUCUGGGCAGGCCUGGGAGGGAGUACUGUGGUUAAGUUAACCGAGGUGAGAAGAACCAGCCUCAUCGUGAUGGUGCCAUUCCCUGACCUUGUGUCCUGAACCGCUCAAGAAGGAAAGAGGCAGCUGCACACCCAAGCUCAUCGCAAUCUGCUUCCUGACUGCAGAUGUAACGUGUAGACAAGUUCCUGCCACCCGCAUUCCUGCCACAGGAGACUGUCCCUUCACACUGUUUGCCAAAAUAAAUG